rnacentral:rRNA from 1 species
AUUGAACGCUGGCGGCAGGCCUAACACAUGCAAGUCGAGCGGAGCGGCGGACGGGUGGGUAAUGCCUAGGCAUCUGCCUGGUAGUGGGGGAUAACGUCCGGAAACGGGCGCUAAUCCCGCAUUCUAUCAGAUGCGCCUAGGUCGGAUUAGCGAGGUGGUGGGGUAAAGGCCUACCAAGGCGACGAUCCGUAACUGUUCUGAGAGGAUGAUCAGUCACACUGGAACUGAGACACGGGCUAGACUCCUAAGGGAGGCAGCAGGGGGGAAUAGUGGACAAUGGGCGAAAGCCUGAUCCAGCCAUGCCGCGUGUAUGAAGAAGGUCUUCGGAUUGUAAAGCACUGUAAGUUGGGAGGCGUUACCAACAGAAUAAGCACCGGCUAACUUCGUGCCAGCCGCCGCGGUAAUAA